rnacentral:sRNA from 1 species
GAAAGCUAGACCUGCAGAGUGAAGAAAGCUUGUAAUAGAUGUCUGACUAAAGAAAGACUUGUGUUACGAUGCAAAGUAUUGUUCCUGGGUGUGUCUGUGAGAGUAUUGCCAAAGGAGAGCAGUGAACUGGGGAAAGCAGACCCACCUCAAUGUGGGUGGGCAACAUCCAAUCGGCUGCCAGCUAGAAUAAACCAGGCAGGAGAAGAUGGAAGAGCCGACUUGCUGAAUCUUCCAGCCUUCAUCUUUCUCGUGUGCUGGAUGCUUCCUGCCCUCAAACAUCAGACUCCAGGCUCUUCGUCUUUUGGACUCUCGGAUUUACAUCAGUGGUUUACCAGGGCUCUCAGGCCUUCAGCUACACACUGAAGGCUGAAUUGUCGGCUUCCCGACUUUUGAGAUUUUGAAACUUGGACUGAGCUACUGCUGGCUUCCUUGCUUCUCAACUUACAGAUGGGACUUCACCUUUAGAUCAUGAUCAGAACACAAUACCUGAAAAUUUGCCAGCACCAACAGACAAAUAUAAACUAAAAUAUCAGCAAAGUAAAACUGAAAUUAAAGAGAGCUAUAAGCAGUAUAGUCAGAGAAAUGCAGAA